rnacentral:rRNA from 1 species
UACGUAGGGUGCGAGCGUUAAUCGGAAUUACUGGGCGUAAAGCGUGCGCAGGCGGUUUUGUAAGUCUGUCGUGAAAGCCCCGGGCUUAACCUGGGAACUGCAUUGGUGACUGCAGCGCUGGAGUAUGGCAGAGGGGGGGUGGAAUUCCACGUGUAGCAGUGAAAUGCGUAGAGAUGUGGAGGAACACCGAUGGCGAAGGCAGCCCCCUGGGCCAAUACUGACGCCUCAUGCACGAAAGCGUGGGGAGCAAACAGG